UAGGGAAUUUUUCACAAUGAGCGAAAGCUUGAUGGAGCAAUGCCGCGUGAACGAUGAAGGUCUUUAAGAUUGUAAAGUUCUUUUAUUUGGGAAGAAUGACUUUAGCAGGUAAUGGCUAGAGUUUGACUGUACCAUUUUGAAUAAGUGACGACUAACUAUGUGCCAGCAGUCGCGGUAAUACAUAGGUCGCAAGCGUUAUCCGGAUUUAUUGGGCGUAAAGCAAGCGCAGGCGGAUUGAAAAGUCUGGUGUUAAAGGCAGCUGCUUAAUAGUUGUAUGCAUUGGAAACUAUUAAUCUAGAGUGUGGUAGGGAGUUUUGGAAUUUCAUGUGGAGCGGUGAAAUGCGUAGAUAUAUGAAGGAACACCAGUGGCGAAGGCGAAAACUUAGGCCAUUACUGACGCUUAGACUUGAAAGUGUGGGGAGCAAAUAGGAUUAGAUACCCUAGUAGUCCACACCGUAAACGAUAGAUACUAGCUGUCGGGGCGAUCCCCUCGGUAGUGAAGUUAACACAUUAAGUAUCUCGCCUGGGUAGUACAUUCGCAAGAAUG
rnacentral:rRNA from 1 species